AUUGAACGCUGGCGGCCGGCUUAACACAUGCAAGUCGAACGAGUGGCGGACGGGUGAGCAAUGUUUGGGAAACUAGCUUAUGGCGGGGGAUAACUACGGGAAACUGUAGCUACUACCGCGUACCAUAGGAUGAGCCAAGGUGGGAUUAGGUAGUUGGUGAGGUAAAGGCUCACCAAGCCGACGAUCUCUAGCUGGUCUGAUAGGAUGACCAGCCACACGGUGACGGAGACACGGCCUAGACUCCUACGGUAUGGAGCAGAGUGGAAUAUUGCACAAUGGGCGAAAGCCUUAUGCAGCCAUGCCGCGUGUAGGAAGAAGGCGGUAGGGUUGUGAAGUACUUUCAGCGGGGAGGCUUUACCCGCAGAAGAAGCACGGGCUAACUCCGUGCUAGGGUCCGCGGUAAUAC
rnacentral:rRNA from 1 species